GAGUGAAGCAGAAGAGAGGCGUUCUUUUGACCCCAUACUCACCUGCGCGGUCGAACAAAUUGUACAUGAUUCUACGUUUCAUCAGGAUUGACAACCAUGUGGUUAGGGAUAAAGAGUUUAUACGCACUGGGGACAACCGAGUCAAGAUAAUAGGCCAGCAAACUGUAGAGAAAUAUAUCCAGCGUCAUCAUAAUAAGACUUCCACCGAAUGGUAUACCUGGACCAGACCAAAGGGUUCAGUUUGGAAACGUGGAAAUUGAUCGCUCACCUUGUCCAUGGCUAAAGCAACCCCAGAAGGACUGAUCAACGAAGCCACCCAAAACGCUAUUGAGCUUGAGUCGUCCACGAAUACUUGUAUGAAAUACAUGAGACUCAAUAUCGUCACUGCAAAAUUACCAAGUACUCCAGCGGUCUGAAAAGUUGAAAAUACUGUGAAAUACCAUCGACAGUAAUGACCUG
rnacentral:misc_RNA from 1 species